GACGGGGCCCGCACAAGCGGAGGAACAUGUGGUUUAAUUCGAUGAUACGCGAGGAACCUUACCUGGGCUUAAAGUGGGGAGUGACAGCUGGCGAAAGUUGGUUUUCUUCGGACACUCUUCAAGGUGCUGCAUGGUUGUCGUCAGCUCGUGCCGUGAGGUGUCGGGUUAAGUCCCAUAACGAGCGCAACCCUUACUGUUAGUUGCCAGCGGGUCAAGCCGGGAACUCUAACGGGACUGCCACCGUAAGGUGAGAGGAAGGUGGGGAUGACGUCAAAUCAGCACGGCCCUUAUGUCCAGGGCUACACACGUGUUACAAUGGUCGGUACAAAGGGUUGCCAAGCCGCGAGGUGGAGCUAAUCCCAUAAAACCGAUCGUAGUCCGGAUCGCAGUCUGCAACUCGACUGCGUGAAGUCGGAAUCGCUAGUAAUCGUGAAUCAGAAUGUCACGGUGAAUACGUUCCCGGGCCUU
rnacentral:rRNA from 1 species